CAGGGUCGAAAUGGAAAGAUACAGAUUUGUGCGAUCCGAGCAUGAGGGCAAGCCUGAUGGCCUUGCUUGCCACGAGGCGUAUUCUUGUUCGAUCGCUCUGUAUAACUUCGCUCUACUGACGUGGAUUCCCUUACCACUGAUAACACCCCGAUUUGUGGCUGAGCAAGAGGUGAAAUAUUCCAUCAUCGCAUUCGUAGAACAUAAGAUCAAAGAUCUUGAAAAAGGUUGGACCUCAAAUUUCGAUGAUCUGUAUGAGGCCGAGAAAGAAUGCAAAUGUCUUGUGCAUGCUCUUCCAGGUGGACUUCAGAUCUGUCCAGCUCUUGACAGCAUCACAUCGUUCAAGACAAAUGGUGGACACAGCUUAUUUAGUUUGCUGGAGACCCGAGUGGUGCACGGUUGGUUAGCUAAUCCCGAGGAUAACAUCUAUGAGACGGUCAGGUCCUUCUCUUGUGAUGACCUGGAGUCACACAUUUCAUCCCUUGAUGCUCUGAAUGAUAAUUCUGAAGCUGCACAGAGGGAUAGGGAUGCAAGCAAAAACACAGAUAAAUUAGAUGCUUACCCCCAAGCAAGGUGGAGGAUUCUGGAAGAGGCGGAUGAGGAACCAAUUUACUUGAAUUGCAAAUACAUUCCACUUAAGAAUCAACCCCAGAUCGGUAAAGCAAAACUAUGGUACUCUGAGAAGUUGAAUUCAAGAAAUGAAUAUGCUCCAAGAAAUGUAACAAAGGAUGAAGCUUCUAUUCAGAAGCCAACAGGAAAUGAGGGAAAACUGUCAAAUCAGGAAGCAAUAUUGCAAACGAAACAGGCUUCUGAUGAGACACUGCACUAUAGAGUUGUGCAGUUCAAGCAUGAGAACUUGCUUACUAGCAUUAUUUGCCACAAGGGAUAUUCACUUUGGACUGCUCUCUAUAACCAUUUAGUUUUGAAUAGAGCUCUCGCAGUGAAACCAUCGGAAGUAAAACUCCAAUUUCUGCCUGAGAGAGAGGUGAAAGACGCGAUCAUUGCACAUCUCAAACUUGUACUUGAUGAGAUAGAAAAAAGCGAGAAAUCAAAACAUGAAAAGCUGUAUGUCUGUGAGUUUAUCUGGAAAUGUUUCAUACGUUCUACAGCAGAUACUCAUCAGAUCUAUCCUGUUCUUGACAGCUUCACAUCAUUCAAGGAUUCUUUUGGACGUAGCUUAAUUUGUGUGCUGGGGAUCGAAUUGGUGCAUGGUUGGGUAGCUAAUCCCGAGGAUAACAUCUAUGAGACGGUCAAGUCCUUCUCUUCUGAUGACCUGGAAUCACACAUUUCAUCCCUUGAUUCUCGGAGUGAUAAUUCUGAAGCUUCACAGAGGGAUAGGGAUGCAAGCAAAAACACAGAUAUAUUAGAUGCUUACCCCAAUGCAAGGUGGAGGAUUCUGGAAGAGGUGGACGAGGAACCAAUUUACUUGAAUUGCAAUUACAUUCCACUUAAGAAUCAACCCCACAUCGCUAAAGUAAAACGAUGGUACUUGGAGAUGAAGUCAAAGAAGAAAAUUAAUGAGGCUUCAAGCAACGAAGGUGCUGGUCAGAAGCAGUGUUAUCGAGACACGCGUGUCAGUGUGUCGACUCGUGUCAGGCGUGGCAAGACACAGCUGUAG
rnacentral:lncRNA from 1 species